rnacentral:rRNA from 1 species
AGAGCGAACGCUGGCGGCAGGCUUAACACAUGCAAGUCGAGCGGGCGUAGCAAUACGUCAGCGGCAGACGGGUGAGUAACGCGUGGGAACGUACCUUUUGGUUCGGAACAACACAGGGAAACUUGUGCUAAUACCGGAUAAGCCCUUACGGGGAAAGAUUUAUCGCCAAAAGAUCGGCCCGCGUCUGAUUAGCUAGUUGGUGAGGUAACGGCUCACCAAGGCGACGAUCAGUAGCUGGUCUGAGAGGAUGAUCAGCCACAUUGGGACUGAGACACGGCCCAAAACUCCUACGGGAGGCAGCAGUGGGAAUAUUGGACAAUGGGCGCAAGCCUGAUCCAGCCAUGCCGCGUGAGUGAUGAAGGCCCUAGGGUUGUAAAGCUCUUUUGUGCGGGAAGAUAAUGACGGUACCGCAAGAAUAAGCCCGGCUAACUUCGCGCCAGCAGCCGC